rnacentral:rRNA from 1 species
UAUCUCUGUAGAGUCUGCAUAUCAAUAAGCGGAGGAAAAGAAACUAACAAGGAUUCCCCUAGUAACGGCGAGUGAAGCGGGAAGAGCUCAAAUUUGAAAUCUUCAAGGUUUGACCUUGACGAAUUGUAGUUUAAAGAAGUGUUUUCGGUUAGAGGAGUAGUAAAAGUUCUUUGGAAUAGGACAUCAUAGGGGGUGAGAAUCCCGUAUUUGACUAUUCUUUCUAGCUUUGUGAUACACUUUCAAAGAGUCGGAUUGUUUGGGAAUGCAGUCCAAAAUGGGUGGUAAAUUUCAUCUAAAGCUAAAUAUUGGCGAGAGACCGAUAGCGAACAAGUACCGUGAGGGAAAGAUGAAAAGAACUUUGAAAAGAGAGUUAAACAGUACGUGAAAUUGUCAAAAGGGAAGCGUUUGACACCAGUGUUGUUUUUCCGAAAAAUCAAUUACAAAUGGCUUCAUUUGCAGGUUGUAUUGACCUUAUCAGCUUUCUUCACUUUUUUCGAGUCUUUCUUAAUGCACUUUUUGGUUAACAAGUCAACGUCAAUCUCUUUUGUUGUAAAAGAGUAUUCGGAAGGUGGCUUUCUUUUCGGAGAAAGUGUUUAUAGCCCUAUACUUCUACAAUCGGAGAGAUUGAGGUCUGCAGCGUAGAUCCUUCGGGGUUAGAUACACUUGUGCUAAGUUGUAGCUUUUCAUAGACAACUUGUUGACUAUGUUUAGUCAUGCGGCUUACUCGCUUGUGCUAUUUUACCUACGCUUAGGAUGUUGAGCGCAUGUCUCUCUCU